CUGUAUUAGAAACAUAGAGUUGCAUCAGAUGAUAUGAAUCUGAUCAGGGAGUGCAACUCAAUGCUGGUUGCAAUUACUGUAUGGCUGUCCACCUCUGGUUGUCCCAUACUCCUAGGGUGUAGACUUCUAGGAUUCCCACUGAGAUCCUGAAGUAUUUGCUAGAAUCCCUCUUCACUGAUAUUCCCAGGCUCUAAUUUCCAUAUCUUUAUCAUGGUCUGUUUAGUCAGUAGAGAAUAAAAAUACACUAAGCUUUUUUUUUUUAAAAAAAAAUGCUUUUACCCUUGGGAGUGUCAUGAUCAGGACUAUAUAUGGAGGAGAUUUAGGGAGCUCAAAUAGGAGGUUAUAGUAAUAGUCUGGAUAUGAGUUAAUGAAGGCUGCUGAUACAGGAAGUUGGAAACAGGAAUGUACAUGAAGAGACAGAUACAGAACCUCUUAUGGAAGAAGAGAGGGAGGGGAUUAUUUACAAGAAGAAAAGUGGGGCUUUUGCUUUAUCCCCUAGUCCCAACACACUCACUGCGGACCAAUUAUUUUCACACACUAACAAGCGUAACCCUGGAACAUGAGGAUGUUGACAUGACCUGUAUACAGUUAUGAGACUGGUUGUUAUUGUUGUUCUCCUGACAAAAUAUGAGGAAGGAGAAAUGUGCUGAACAUUGAAGGAUUCCGCUCUGGGAAUCAAAUUGGAAUACUGACUUCAUGGAAAUGAUUGUUUCCAAUCCUGCUGCUGGAGGAUGUGAUCUUCCAGAACCUAAACUGGGCUUGGGGACUAAGAGUGUGUAAGUGAUCACCUCAAAAUCCGUCCCAG
rnacentral:lncRNA from 1 species